UAGGGCCAUAUCAUGGUGAAACACCAGUUCCCAUACAAUCACUGAAAUUAAACAACAUCGAGCCUGGUCAGUACCUAGAUGAGUGACUGCUUAGGAAUACCAGGUACUGUAA